UGGCUCAGCGGUUAAGGGCACUGGCUGCUCUUCCAGAGGUCCUGGGUUCAAAUCCCAG
rnacentral:tRNA from 1 species